UACGUAGGGUGCAAGCGUUGUCCGAAAUUAUUGGGCGUAAAGAGCUCGUAGGCGGCUUGUCGCGUCGGCUGUGAAAACCUGGGGCUCAACCCCGGGCCUGCAGCCGAUACGGGCAGGCUAGAGUUCGGUAGGGGAGACUGGAAUUCCUGGUGUAGCGGUGAAAUGCGCAGAUAUCAGGAGGAACACCAAUGGCGAAGGCAGCUCGCUGGGCCGAUACUGACGCUGAGGAGCGAAAGCGUGGGGAGCGAACAGG
rnacentral:rRNA from 1 species